AUUGAACGCUGGCGGCAUGCCUAACACAUGCAAGUCGAACGCGUGGCGGACGGGUGAGUCAUGUCUGGGAAACUGCCUGAUGGCGGGGGAUACCUAGUGGAACCGGUAGCUAAUCCCGCAUACCAUCAGAUUUUCCCAGAUGGGAUUGGCUGGUUGGUGGGGUAACGGCUCACCAAGGCGACGAUCCCUAGUUGGUCUGCGAGGAUGACCAGCCACACUGGAACUGAGACACGGUCCAGACUCCUACGGGAGGCAGCAGUGGGGAAUAUUGCACAAUGGGCGCAAGCCUGAUGCAGCCAUGCCGCGUGUAUGAAGAAGGCCUUCGGGUUGUAAAGUACUGUCAGCGGGGAGGCGGUACCCGAAGAAGAAGCACCGGCUAACUCCGUGCCAGCAGCCGCGGUAAUUC
rnacentral:rRNA from 1 species